rnacentral:rRNA from 1 species
AAUAUUGCACAAUGGGCGAAAGCCUGAUGCAGCAACGCCGCGUGCGCGAUGAAGGCCUUCGGGUCGUAAAGCGCUUUUUGGGGAGAUGAGGAAGGACAGUAUCCCCAGAAUAAGGGUUCGGCUAACUACGUGCCAGCAGCCGCGGUAAAACGUAGGAACCGAGCGUUAUCCGAAUUUACUGGGCGUAAAGCGCGUGUAGGCGGUUCGGUAAGUUGGAUGUGAAAUCUCCCGGCUCAACUGGGAGAGGUCGUUCAAUACUGUCGGACUAGAGGGUGGUAGAGGGAGGUGGAAUUCCCGGUGUAGUGGUGAAAUGCGUAGAUAUCGGGAGGAACACCAGUGGCGAAAGCGGCCUCCUGGACCAUACCUGACGCUCAGACGCGAAAGCUAGGGGAGCAAACGGGAUUAGAAACCCCGGUAGUCCUAGCUGUAAACGAUGUCGACUUGGCGUUGGUGGGGUAAAAGCCAUCAGUGCCGUAGCUAACGCGAUAAGUCGACCGCCUGGGGACUACGGCCGCAAGGUUA